ensembl:lncRNA
GACAUUAAUUGCUGUGCUAUCGACUGCCUGUCAGUGGCUCUGGCAGUUAGUCCAUCUUUUUUAGCAGAGACAGCCUGCUCAGCCCCAACUAGACUGACAAGCUAAUUAUACCCAUCUUCCCCUUCAAUGACAAAUGCUGCUCAUCGGAAACCUUUCUAGAAAUAAGCUCUCAUUCUUUCCCCUUUUUCCUGAGCCAGACAUAACGGAUAUCUCAAGGUGCAGAUCGCAGCUAAAACUCAGCUCACAGGGCUAUUAGCUCUGAACAUCUCACUUGAGCCAAAAAACCUAAGCAUCUUAUGUUAUCAAACUGUAUGUCAUUCCCUGAUGCUAGUUUUCAGGGAUGAGCAGGGGCCUGGCCUGUCAGUCAGAGCAGGGCAGAGAGAACCAAGCCGACUGAAUUAGCCAAGCUCUUCUUAACCAUCAACCGCGUGUAGCUCAGGCAUUGCUUUGAAAAGCGGGCACCCUGGUGUGUGACACAUGGAGGAGGCACCAGGAGCGAUGGGAUUCUCUUGCUUUAGGAGCACGCCUGCUAAUUUGGAAGAUACGACAUGCACAGAAACAGGCAUGUAGAGUCUUUUCUCAAAGCCUUAGGUGCACACGAAAGUCACAUAUUUACAAGAAAGAUGGAAGGUGUUACAAAGUGUAACUCCCCUUUGGAAAUACCACCGAGUUUAUUUUCUGCCACAGGGACUUUUGCUCUGUUUUGUGUUCUCCAAAAUAAGGGGACAGAAUGAAUUCUCCUUUUAAAAGAUAAAGGCAUUUCAGAAAAGAAAGGCUCAUCUGUGCUUUGUUACCCAGUCAAGAGGAAAGUCAGGAGGCUAGAGUUCAAGGCCCUCCACUUCAGCCUUGGGCAAGACUUAGCUCUCAAAAUCCAAAUCUGCUACAUAACCCCAACCUGCCUCCCAGACGAAGUUUGGUUGGGAGAAAUUGAGAACUGUUAUAAAAAAACUGAAUAAAGAAGAACUCUGUCCUAUAGCUACAAAGUAGAGUGAUGAGAACAAGGGUAAAAUAAGAGUUUUGGAGCAGGAAAG